rnacentral:rRNA from 1 species
GAUGAACGCUGGCGGCGUGCCUAAUCCAUGCAAGUCGAGCGAACAGACGAUGAUCUUUCUCCUCUGACGUUAGCGGCUGACGUGUGUGUAACACUUUGAUAACCUACCUAUAAUUCUUGUAUACCUUCGUGAAACCGGUGCUAAUACCGUAUAUUAUAUUGAACCGCAUUGUUCUAUUGUUCAAUUCGGUUUUUCUGUCUCUUAUAUAUUUAUCCGCGCCGCAUUAGCUAGUUGGUAAGGUAACGGCUUACCAAGGCAACGAUGCGUAGCCGACCUGUGAGGGAGAUCGGACAAACUGGAAAUGAGACACGGUAAAGACAACUACGGGAGGAAGAAGUAGGGAAUCGUCAGCAAUGGGAGAAAGCAUGACGGAGAAACGCAGCGUGAGAGAUGAAGGUCUACGGAUCGUAAAACUCUGUUAUUAGGGAAGAAAAAAAGGGUAAGAAAAUAGGCACGUAUUGACGGGAACUAAUCAGAAAGCCACGGCUAAAGACGUG